rnacentral:rRNA from 1 species
CCUACGGGGGGCAGCAGUAGGGAAUCUUCCACAAUGGGCGAAAGCCUGAUGGAGCAACGCCGCGUGGGUGAAGAAGGUCUUCGGAUCGUAAAACCCUGUUGUUAGAGAAGAAAGUGCGUGAGAGUAACUGUUCACGUUUCGACGGUAUCUAACCAGAAAGCCACGGCUAACUACGUGCCAGCAGCCGCGGUAAUACGUAGGUGGCAAGCGUUAUCCGGAUUUAUUGGGCGUAAAGGGAACGCAGGCGGUCUUUUAAGUCUGAUGGGAAAGCCUUCGGCUUAACCGGAGUAGUGCAUUGGAAACUGGGAGACUUGAGUGCAGAAGAGGAGAGUGGAACUCCAGGUGUAGCGGUGAAAUGCGUAGAUAUAUGGAAGAACACCAGUGGCGAAAGCGGCUCUCUGGUCUGUAACUGACGCUGAGGUUCGAAAGCGUGGGUAGCAAACAGGAUUAGAUACCCCAGUAGUC